GCCGCCGGGGACGUUGUGAGAAGUCAUUAAACCUUAUCAUUUAGAGGAAGGAGAAGUCGUAACAAGGGUUCCGUAGGUGACCUGCGGAAGGAUCAUUUG
rnacentral:rRNA from 1 species